AGAACGAACGCUGGCGGCAUGCCUAAUACAUGCAAGUCGAACGAAGGCUUCGGCCUUAGUGGCGCACGGGUGCGUAACGCGUGGGAAUCUGCCCCUUGGUUCGGAAUAACAGUUGGAAACGACUGCUAAUACCGGAUGAUGACGAAAGUCCAAAGAUUUAUCGCCAAGGGAUGAGCCCGCGUAGGAUUAGCUAGUUGGUGAGGUAAAGGCUCACCAAGGCGACGAUCCUUAGCUGGUCUGAGAGGAUGAUCAGCCACACUGGGACUGAGACACGGCCCAGACUCCUACGGGAGGCAGCAGUAGGGAAUAUUGGGACAAUGGGCGAAAGCCUGAUCCAGCAAUGCCGCGUGAGUGAUGAAGGCCUUAGGUUGUAAAGCUCUUUUACCCGAGAUGAUAAUGACAGUAUCGGAGAAUAAGCCCCGGCUAACUCCGUGCCAGCAGCCGC
rnacentral:rRNA from 1 species